rnacentral:tRNA from 1 species
UCCUUGGUAGUCAGUGGUUAAGACUCUGAACUUCCACUUCAGGAGGUAUGGGUUCAAUCCCUGGUUGGGGAA